rnacentral:tRNA from 1 species
GGGGAUUUGGCUCAGUGGUAGAGCGCUCACCUAGGAAGCGCAAGGUCCUGGGUUCGGUCCCCAGCCCCG